AGUGAACGCUGGCGGUAGGCCUAACACAUGCAAGUCGAACGGCAGCACAGUAAGAGCUUGCUCUUACGGGUGGCGAGUGGCGGACGGGUGAGGAAUACAUCGGAAUCUACUUUUUCGUGGGGGAUAGCGUAGGGAAACUUACGCUAAUACCGCAUACGACCUACGGGUGAAAGCAGGGGAUCUUCGGACCUUGCGCGAUUGAAUGAGCCGAUGUCGGAUUAGCUAGUUGGCGGGGUAAAGGCCCACCAAGGCGACGAUCCGUAGCUGGUCUGAGAGGAUGAUCAGCCACACUGGAACUGAGACACGGUCCAGACUCCUACGGGAGGCAGCAGUGGGGAAUAUUGGACAAUGGGCGCAAGCCUGAUCCAGCCAUACCGCGUGGGUGAAGAAGGCCUUCGGGUUGUAAAGCCCCUUUGUUGGGAAAGAAAAGCAGCAGGUUAAUACCCCGCUGUUCUGACGGUACCCAAAGAAUAAGCACCGGCUAACUUCGUG
rnacentral:rRNA from 1 species